GACGUAGGAGGCGAGCGUUGUCCGGAAUCAUUGGGCGUAAAGCGCGCGUAGGCGGCCCUGUAAGUCCGUUGUGAAAGUCAAAGGCUCAACCUUUGAAAGCCGAUGGAUACUGCAGGGCUAGAGUCCGGAAGAGGCGAGUGGAAUUCCUGGUGUAGCGGUGGAAUGCGCAGAUAUCAGGAGGAACACCAAUAGCGAAGGCAGCUCGCUGGGACGGUACUGACGCUAAGGCGCGAAAGCGUGGGGAGCGAACAGG
rnacentral:rRNA from 1 species